rnacentral:rRNA from 1 species
AGAGUUUGAUCCUGGCUCAGGACGAACGCUGGCGGCGUGCUUAACACAUGCAAGUCGAACGAUGAACCGGUUUCGGCCGGGGAUUAGUGGCGAACGGGUGAGUAACACGUGGGCAAUCUGCCCUGCACUCUGGGACAAGCCCUGGAAACGGGGUCUAAUACCGGAUACGACCCUCGAGCGCAUGCUUGAGGGUGGAAAGC